rnacentral:rRNA from 1 species
UACGAAGGGGGCUAGCGUUGUUCGGAAUUACUGGGCGUAAAGCGCACGUAGGCGGACUACGUAAGUCAGGGGUGAAAUCCUGGAGCUCAACUCCAGAACAUGCCUUCGAAACUGGCGGAUCUUGAGUCCGGGAGAGGUGAGUGGAACUGCGAAGUGUAGAGGUGAAAUUCGAUAGAUAUUCGCGAAGAACACCAGUCGGCGAAGGCGGCUCACUGGCCCG